ACUGCUCAGUAACACGUGGCUAAUCUGCCCUUGGGACCGGAACACCCCCGGGAAACUGGGGCUAAUUCUCGAUAGGUGAAGAACUCUGGAACGAGUCUUUGCCAAAAAGUUGUCAGGGUUAUGCUCUCUGAUAACGCCCAAGGAUGAGGCCGCGACCGAUCAGGUUGUUGGUGAGGUAAUGGCUCACCAAGCCAUUUACCGGUGCGGGCCGUGAGAGCGGGAGCCCGGAGAUGGGCACUGAGACAAGGGCCCAGGCCCUACGGGGCGCAGCAGUCGCGAAAACUUUGCAAUAAGCGAAAGCUUGACAGGGCUAUCCCGAGUGCCAUCCGCUGAGGAAGGCUUUUACCCAGUCUAGAACGCUGGGGGAAUAAGGAGAGGGCAAGUCUGGUGUCAGCCGCCGCGGUAAUACCAGCUCUCCGAGUGGUGUGGAUGUUUAUUGGGCCUAAAGCAUCCGUAGCUGGCUAAGUUAGUCCCUUGUUAAAUCCACCGAAUUAAUCGUUGGAUUGCGGGGGAUACUGCUUGGCUAGGGGACGAGAGAGGCAGACGGUAUUUCCGGGGUAGGGGUGAAAUCCUAUAAUCCCGGGAAGACCACCAGUGGCGAAGGCUGUCUGCUAGAACGCGCCCGACGGUGAGGGAUGAAAGCUGGGGGAGCGAACCGGAUUAGAUACCCGGGUAGUCCCAGCUGUAAACGAUGCAGACUAGGUGUUUGGACGGCCACGUGCCGUUCUAGUGCCGCAGGGAAGCUGUUAAGUCUGCCGCCUGGGGAGUACGAUCGCAAGAUUGAAACUUAAAGGAAUUGGCGGGGGAGCAC
rnacentral:rRNA from 1 species